rnacentral:rRNA from 1 species
GACGAAGGUGGCGAGCGUUGUUCGGAAUCACUGGGCUUAAAGCGCACGUAGGCGGCCCUCCAAGUGCUUUGUGAAAUCCCUCGGCUCAACCGAGGAAUUGCUUGGCAGACUGUAGGGCUUGAGGCAGGUAAGGGUGAGUGGAACUCUUGGUGGAGCGGUGGAAUGCGUAGAUAUCAAGAGGAACGCCGGAGGUGAAGACGACUCACUGGGCCUGUCCUGACGCUGAGGUGCGAAAGCUAGGGGAGCAAAC